GCUGCCAGUGGACAUCAUGUUUGGAAGUACCCUGAAAAACGAAGACGUGUUGACUCAUGACGAGUAUGUUGACUCGUUCCAAAAGGACCUGCGAGAGGCUGUCAGGAUCGCUCAGGCCAACACCACUGAAGCUCAGAAAAAGCAAGCCAGGCAGUAUAACAAGAGAGUGAAGGGUACUGCCCUGGAGAUUGGGGACCGAGUUCUCUUGGCAAACCGAAAGGAAAGAGGAAAAGGUAAACUUGCCGACUUGUGGGAUUCAACGGUCUAUGUGAUCACAUGGAAAGACCCGUCUGUGCACAUCUACAGAGUCGAAGAUCCUACUACCAAGAAGAGUAAAGUAGUUCAUCGAAACUUCAUACUGCCAGUGAACUUCCUGCCGGUGGGACAGACAGACGAGAUGUCCACAGUAGCCUCUACUGCUUCAGAGGAGGACAUAAACGGAGACAGCGGUGACGAAAGACCGGUAUUCGAUGUGGAUGAGGAUUCAGAGGAUCGAAGGACUGCUGUCUGGAUUCUCGAGGGCCAGAACCCUGAGGGGCCCACGGAAGCUGAAGGUCAAAAAUCUUCGGGACCGGAAGAUGGCGUGAACAUGAGAGAAGCUGCUCCUCAAUGCCCAGCGAAGGACAUGAUCUCAGGACAAGCAGCUAAAUCAAGCACAGGAAGCUCCUCAAUGAUGCCUGGUGAUGAUUCAAGUGAUCCUUCUGAAAAUGACACAAGUAGAGAAGCAACGUCGGUGAGCAGUCUAGAUGGCAUCAGCAGUAGAAGUUCAUCAGUCAGCGGCUCUGUAUGCAUAAGAUCUACUAAGAAGAGAAUGAGUAACCAGAGAGAGGUAGAGCGCAGAAACAGCCAGACAUCUGAGCUCACUGAUACAGUCCUGAGACCAAGUGAAGGCACUUUGAGAACUCGAACUGGAAGAGUUGUGAAGCCUGUCAGAAGACUUUUAGAGUCAAUGAGUCAAGUGAUUGCUGAGCCGGACAAAAGAGAGCAUCUAGCCGCCCUGAUUCAAGCCUUAUCAACUUUUGUUGAAGUGACAGUACCCCAGUGACACAGAAGCCAGAAGAUAGAUUAAGGAAAUGAGAAAUACUUUAUUAGGGGGUCAUAGGUUGUAUGUAUAUGGGCAUAUUUCUACCUGGCAAAGUCUCUUUGCUGUCCUUCUGGACGACUCUUGGUCAAGGUUACCCCUGUGGAGGAAGAAGUCUUACCUUAUGUCUUGAAGUUUGCUGAAAUCAAGAAGGGGUGAGUGUAGUAGAGUUAAAAUGGUUAUUCCAGCAAACUUCAAAUUAUUAGAAUAGUACACAACGCAGAACAGAACAAUCAGGUUGAGGGUCAGUGGCCAAAAGCCCGCGAACAGGAAUGUUCCAAGUUCAGACAGAAGGGGGGAGUCAGAUCGCCAGGAACUUUACUUUUGGUUUCUAAUUUUAAUUGUUGCGCUACUGGUGAUGCCUGUUGAUGUUAGGUAGGCAGCUACAGUAGCUGAAUGAUGUUAACAUCUUCAGGUUUUGUUUCAUUAAAUGUAUUUUAUUUUAUCUGGGUGCUUACGUCACCUACUGACACCCUGGUACUACCCAUAGAUCCCGCUCUCCUCAGUCUGAGAAAACACUGAGAGAGAAAGAACAACUUGUCAGGUGGUGCAUUGGAGACUGAUGUGUUCCUGUCCUGUCUUUUCAUAAUACUAUUGCAGAUCGACAUAAAAGCCUAAAAGACAGCCGUGGUGUUGCUCUUCAUUUCUUGGUUCUCCUGUGGUGCAUAAGAAACCCGCUACAUAUGCUGCAGCUAACCACUCAUCUGCUCUCUCUGGGGAGAUGAAUGCUCUUCCCCGCUCACUCUGGGGAGAGGGUCACAUUGAGCACCACCUGACAGUUCUCCGGUUCGCCCCACACACCUUCGAAGACACCUAGCACACGGUUGAGCCGCGCUCACCGCUUCAACAAUUUCUGCAAAUUGAGACGGGUAAGAUGUGUGAUGUACUGUAAAACUGACACCUUUCUACACUACUUCAAUUCUCAGAGACAAAACAUCUGUAAGCUAAACCUUCCAGGUCUCACUGUCUUUGUUUUUUUUUAUAGCUUAUUAAGCCAUCACCAGUAUGAGUGAUAGUUAUAUUUAACAACAUUUGUGUUUGGUAGAUUUUCAUUACUCUAUACCAGACGUAUAGAUUUAUAUUAUUAUACAUUUGAAAUGUUUUCUUGAAAGAAACAAAUGAAUUCCUGUAGGGACCUUAUGAAAAGCUUGAACCAAAAGGGAUUUCAAAUAUGAACUAAACAAGUAGUUAAAGAGCAGCAGUAAAAUAACAAUAGCGAGACUAUAUAGUGUGGUACCGGUACAGAGUCAAUGUGUGGGGGCACCGGUUAGUCGAGGUAAUUGAGGUAAUAUGUACAUGUAGGUAGAGUUAUUAAAGUGACUUUGCGUAGAUAAUAACAGAGUAGCAGC
rnacentral:lncRNA from 1 species